rfam:Triticum aestivum genome assembly, contig: Triticum_aestivum_CS42_TGACv1_scaffold_636795_7DS
ACUCCCUCCGUCCGAAAAUACUUGUCAUUGAAAUGGAUGUAUCUAGAUGUAUUUUAGUUCUAGACACAUCCAUUUUGAUGACAAGUAAUUCCGGACGGAGGGAGUACUUG